AAGAAAAAAAAAGUGUAGAGCUAAGACCACCUCCAUCGGAGGUUGUAGAAAGGGGUUCUAAGAAAAAAAGACAAAAAAAAUAAAUCAAAAAUAAGAUAAAAACAUAGAACCGCUGCUUAAUAUGGCUUUUUUAGAAUUGGUUAGAACCCUUACGUGUCAUUGGAAGGAAGAAGCUCGAGAGAUGGAGGCUGCCGUUCUAUUGAAGCCGACGCAUAGGCUCAAGUAUCAUUUUCUCCUCAGCUUCAGCCAUGUCCGGAGAAGAAGAAGAGAACGCUGCCGAACUCAAGAUUGGAGAUGACAAAAGGAAGAGCUCAUAGUGAUGAAGCGAUCGAGAAGAUGCUUAAUGAUCUCUCCUUUGUCAACAGAUUCGAGUAGUUGCGGAAAGUUCUCAAGAUCUAAGAUUAUAAACAUAUUUCAGGGGAUUACAUUCUCCUUCUAAAAUUAGUUUUUCAUGUCUGAGAGUUAGUUUUUCAUGUCUAAAAAUUAUGUUUUCAUGUCUGAAAGUUAGUUUUUCAGGGGACUACAUUAUAAAAAAAAAUUUAGAACCCCAUAGGGGUUCUCCCA